CAUAGCCGCGGUAAUACAGAGGGUGCGAGCGUUAAUCGGAUUUACUGGGCGUAAAGCGUGCGUAGGCGGCUUCUUAAGUCGGAUGUGAAAUCCCUGAGCUUAACUUAGGAAUUGCAUUCGAUACUGGGAAGCUAGAGUAUGGGAGAGGAUGGUAGAAUUCCAGGUGUAGCGGUGAAAUGCGUAGAGAUCUGGAGGAAUACCGAUGGCGAAGGCAGCCAUCUGGCCUAAUACUGACGCUGAGGUACGAAAGCAUGGGGAGCAAACAGGAUUAGAUACCCCAGUAGUCCCUGUCUCUUAUCAC
rnacentral:rRNA from 1 species